rnacentral:rRNA from 1 species
AGUCAACAUGCCCAAAGGACGUGGAUAACCUCGGGAAACUGAGGAUAAACCGCGAUAGGUCAUAAGUACUGGAAUGUUUUAUGGCUCAAAUCUACAUGGCCUCUGGAUUGGACUGCGGCCGAUCAGGCUGUUGGUGAGGUAAUGGCCCACCAAACCUGUUACCGGUACGGGCUCUGAGAGGAGGAGCCCGGAGAUGGGCACUGAGACAAGGGCCCAGGCCCUAUGGGGCGCAGCAGGCGCGAAACCUCUGCAAUAGGCGAAAGCUUGACAGGGUUACUCUGAGUGAUUCCCGCUAAGGGAAUCUUUUGGCAUCUCUAAAAACGAUGCAGAAUAAGGGGUGGGCAAGUCUGGUGUCAGCCGCCGCGGUAAUACCAGCACCCCGAGUGGUCGGGACGAUUAUUGGGCCUAAAGCAUCCGUAGCCGGUCUUGCAAGUCUUCCGUUAAAUCCACCUGCUUAACAGAUGGGCUGCGGAAGAUACUACAAGACUAGGAGGCGGGAGAGGCAAGCGGUACUCAGUGGGUAGGGGUAAAAUCCUCUGAUCCAUUGAAGACCACCAGUGGCGAAGGCGGCUUGCCAGAACGCGCUCGACGGUGAGGGAUGAAAGCUGGGGGAGCAAACCGGAUUAGAUACCCGGGUAGUCCCAGCUGUAAACGAUGCAGACUCGGUGAUGGGCCGGCUUCAUGCCGGCUCAGUGCCGCAGGGAAGCCGUUAAGUCUGCCGCCUGGGGAGUACGGUCGCAAGACUGAAACUUAA